CUUGUGGCCCUUGUCAAUACUACAGACACAGGAGCAGUUCUCAGUGAGUAUAAGUGACAGAAAGAAUGGAUAAAUUUGUGAGUCUGCUCAUCUUUUGGCUGCAACUGGACUGCGUGAGCAGCAAACAGGAGGUGAAUCAGAGUCCUGAAGUUCUGACUAUCAAAGAGGGACAUAGCUUGUUUCUCAACUGCAGUUACACCGAUAGUGCCAUUUAUACUCUUCAGUGGUAUAGGCAAGACCCUGGAAAAGGACUGACACUUCUGUUAAUUCAGUCAAGCCCGGGAGUGCAAGAAACUGGAAGAAUUAAAGCCUUCUUUGAUAAAACGUCAAGACAUAGUGCUUUACACAUUGCAUCGGCUCAGCUCAGCGACUCAGCCACCUACCUCUGUGCUGUGAGGCACAGUGCACAGCAGCCACCUGUCAACAAUACCCAAACUCUGCAGCUGAGGCUCCAACCACAUGUCCUAUUCUUGAAGCUGAGGAAUCUUUCUCCACUAAGGGGUUUUCAAAAUUGA